AAGUAAGCGAGUUAUCGAUCUGGAUAUUUCUGAGUGGACUCUGUGAGCGAUCCAAUCAGGAUGGAGUGCAGCAGCCAGGUGACCCCCCAGCUGAUGAUGGCUGUGGGGACCGCUGUGAUUGGCUCCCUCCAGUUUGGCUACAACACCGGCGUCAUCAACGCUCCUCAGAAUGUGUUUUGGUAAAGCAGAAUCCAGGCG